UUGAGAGAGGUGAAAAAUAGCGGCGUUGUGGGUUUCAAAGAUUGAGAAUAGAGAGAGUUGCUGAUGAAGAUUCAAAUGGAAGAAGAUUGGGCUACUGUUGCUGCAAUUGAAGAUGGGUUCGUUUCAGUGGAAAUGAAGAAACUCGUGUAGUUUAAUCAGAAGAAUGGAUUUCGAAUUGGGGAUCUGAUUUCUGCUGUUGUUUAAGUAUUGGAAGAACGAGAAGAAUUAGAGAUGGGUUUGAGUCUGAGGAAGAAAUUGCGAAAGGGGUUGUCUCUGUGGUGGUGCAUGAAUUAUGAACUGAUAAUGAUUUGUGUUAUUGGAGCUGUGUAGGUUGAGAUGGAGAUUUUAAGGGUUGUGAAAGACGUCAGUAAAGGAGUUGUAGCUAAUAUAUAACUGAGCUACAAAUGCUCAUGGUGGUGAUGAAUCUGGUGACGAUUUUGGUGUAUUUUAGAGAUUGGGUUGAUGAAUAUUGUCGAUGUAGAAGAUUGGGUUUGAUCUGAUUCUGAGAAUCCAUGAAGAAUUAUUGAUGUUGGUGAUGUUGUUGCUUUUGGUUGGUAAUGGACCUGAGCAUGGAACUGAUGCUGAGAUAUGGGUGAAGGAUUGAUGGUUUGAUCUGAUGAGUUGCAGUUGAACAAUAGAAGAAGAAUACAGGGAAUUGAAGGAGUUACUGUGAGUGCAAUGAAGUUGAGACUGCAAGAUGAUUAGAUGUAUGAUGCUAGGAUUGUGUAGCUGAAAUGAUGUUGACAAGCAACUGUUGAGUUGGUGUUGCAGGUGCCAGUGAUACUGAGAUUGUAAUGGUGUCGGUUGGAGGUUCUGCGAGUUAGAUGAUGUCAAGGAUGAGCUAGUAAUGGAUGGACCUAAGUGUGGGUGUUUUGAGUUGAGAAGAAGUUGUAGAAUGAGCUUGUUAUGAGCUCUGGGUUGUUUUUACAAGCUUCAGUGGUGACUAGGAUGUUUGCACUCAGGUCAAGAGGUAGAUAUUGCAGGCACUAGAGUGGUUGUGGUGGUUGCUGCCCAUGGAUAUUGCAGAUGUAUUGAAGCUGAAGUGAAGUGAAGGAAAUGGCUGAGUUGCAGUCAUGUAACAUAUGAGAGGAAGUUGUAUUUGCUGCCGCAUAUAUUGGUAUUACAGGAUCAGCUGGAAGAAUGAAUGAGUUCUGAGCAGAUGGAGUUGUUGUUGGCUUGCAUAAGAGUAGUUAGUGCUCUACUGAGAUGAUGCAAGAAUGAAGUGGUGUAUGGCUUAUGAAGCGCCAACAUGGCUGGGUCUGGAUUUUGUGAUGCAUUAUCAUUGUGCAACAACAAGUUAUGGCCUGAGAAAGACUGCAAUGGCUCAGGCCAAGGCCACUCAGCUUAGCUGAGUCUGGCUAGCUAUCUAACUCGUCUGUCUGACUCAUGAUCUUACUGAGUUAAUCAAUUGACUCGGUUGACCUGACCGAGCUGACUCGUUGACCGGUGACCGGGUGGGCUUUGCCGGUCACUUGAGAUACUCUCCCGGCGAUUUCCGUCCAACUUCCGGUACUUUGACCCAGUUUUCCGGCGACCACUUUUGUGACAUAUUUUCACAUGGGUAUUCCUCACAUAUUGGCUUGGUGGACAUCUUUGUAUUGGAUUUGGGAGAUUGGACCUAAUUUUAGAAGUUGGAGAAAAGCUACAAAAUAAAGAGUCUUCUACUUCUUUUGGAUGACGUAUUUUUCUACUGGGAGUUUUGGAGAAGAGCGGCGAUUCUACUAGUUGAGAGAGAAAGUGAAAUUAUUUUUGACGCAUACGACAGCGAAGACGUUUCUAUGGAUGCUGUGAGAGUGGUGCUAACUGCACGCCGAACGGAUAACGAGGUGCAAUGGAGUCCUUUUGAGCAAAAGAAGGAGAAAUCGUGCAUUUGAAACGUAAAAGGCAAAAAGGUCAAUUCACGGCGAGUGAUACUUGGAGCCAGCUAAAGUGAUGCAACAAAGGAGGUGAAGAAUGAAUUGUCACAUAUCACUCGCAUACCAUUUCAAACCACGUAAAUUUUUGUUGGGUGUUUUUCACUAGAACGCACAUCUUCUCUUUGGCUUUCUCAACAAUCCAAUUGGACGCGUCAUUUUUAUCCUCCCAUUCCAAAUCAUUAGCGUAAUGUGCGGAAGUAUCAGGACCCCUAAUUUGGUGAGCUUGAGGCUAAUCCUUCAUCGGUACCAAUGCAAUAAUCUACAAAACAUCAAAAGUUAGUUGAUAUGUAUUACCAAGGUCGGCAGGGUCGACAUAUAAAACAAUGUCGACUACAAAAUAGCCGUCAUGGUAGAAAAAUUCAACAGUGCCGACCAAACAAUAGUCGGCAGGGUCUACGCCACUAUAAUACCGGCGUACUGAUUAAAGAUUAUUGAUUAUGGUUGUAGUAAUGAGGUUCAAACUCUCGGAAUUGUGAAGAUUAAAUUUAAAGAUUUAAUUAAAUUAUAUACAAAAUUUUUAACAA